rnacentral:rRNA from 1 species
GACGAACGCUGGCGGCGUGCUUAACACAUGCAAGUCGAACGGAGUGGCGAACGGGUGAGUAACACGUGGGUGACCUGCCCUGCCCUUCGGGAUAAGCCUGGGAAACUGGGUCUAAUAACGGAUAGUGUGGGAUGGGCCCGGGGCCGAUCAGCUUGUUGGUGGGGUAAUGGCCUACCAAGGCCGCGACGGGUGGCCGGCCGGAGAGGGUGGACGGCCCCAUUGGGAGUGAGACACGGCCCAGAGUCGUACGAGAGGCAGCAGUGGGGAAUAUGGCACAAUGGGAGGAAGCCUGAUGCAGCGACGACGCGUGGGGGAUGACGGCCUUCGGGUUGUAAACUCCUUUCACCAUCGGCGCGGUAGAUGGAGAAGAAGCACCGGCGAACUACGUGCCAGCAGCCGCGGUAAUUC